rnacentral:rRNA from 1 species
GGGCCCGCACAAGCGGUGGAGCAUGUGGUUUAAUUCGAUGCAACGCGAAGAACCUUACCUGGUCUUGACAUACACAGAAUCUUGUAGAGAUAUGAGAGUGCCUUCGGGAAUUGUGAUACAGGUGCUGCAUGGCUGUCGUCAGCUCGUGUCGUGAGAUGUUGGGUUAAGUCCCGCAACGAGCGCAACCCACGUUUUUAGUUGCCAGCAUUUGGUUGGGCACUCUAGAAAGACCGCCGGUGAUAAACCGGAGGAAGGUGUGGAUGACGUCAAGUCAUCAUGCCCCUUAACCCUGGGCUACACACGUACUACAAUGCUACGGACAAAGGGCAGCAAACUCGCGAGAGCUAGCAAAAUCCCAUAAACCGUGGCUCAGUUCAGAUCGUAGGCUGCAACUCGCCUACGUGAAGGCGGAAUCGCUAGUAAUCG